GUUUGUUUACUAAAACUUUUUUAUUUUAGUUUUAAUCGGUGAAAAAUUACGUAGCCUAAAACAUAAUUCAAAGACAUGUUUGUGAAUAAAAUAAUAACUUAAAUCAAAAUAGUAAAAUAAUGUAUUACAUUUAUUGUCACUUAAUUUUUCACUCCAUAUAAUUAUUUUACUAAAUAAAAAACUAUUUUUAUUCACAUAAUUUAGUGAAACACAUAUAAAUAGUCCUUUUUAUUAGUUUAUAAAAUCAGCUAGGCAUGAACAUUGGCUAUCCAUUUGAGUACAUGUUGUUCCUCUC
rnacentral:lncRNA from 1 species